rnacentral:rRNA from 1 species
AUACGUAGGGUGCGAGCGUUAAUCGGAAUUACUGGGCGUAAAGCGUGCGCAGUUGGUUUUGUAAGUCAGAUGUGAAAUCCCCGGGCUUAACCUGGGAACUGCGUUUGAAACUGCAAGGCUAGAGUGUGGCAGAGGGGGGUGGAAUUCCGCGUGUAGCAGUGAAAUGCGUAGAUAUGUGGAGGAACACCGAUGGCGAAGGCAGCCCCCUGGGUCAACACUGACGCUCAGGCACGAAAGCAUGGGGAGCAAACAGGAUUAGAAACCCCAGUAGUCC